GAUGAACGCUGGCGGCGUGCCUAAUACAUGCAAGUCGAGCGAACGGACGAGAAGCUUGCUUCUCUGAUGUUAGCGGCGGACGGGUGAGUAACACGUGGAUAACCUACCUAUAAGACUGGGAUAACUUCGGGAAACCGGAGCUAAUACCGGAUAAUAUUUUGAACCGCAUGGUUCAAAAGUGAAAGACGGUCUUGCUGUCACUUAUAGAUGGAUCCGCGCUGCAUUAGCUAGUUGGUAAGGUAACGGCUUACCAAGGCAACGAUGCAUAGCCGACCUGAGAGGGUGAUCGGCCACACUGGAACUGAGACACAGUCCAGACUCCUACGGGAGGCAGCAGUAGGGAAUCUUCCGCAAUGGGCGAAAGCCUGACGGAGCAACGCCGCGUGAGUGAUGAAGGUCUUCGGAUCGUAAAACUCUGUUAUUAGGGAAGAACAUAUGUGUAAGUAACUGUGCACAUCUUGACGGUACCUAAUCAGAAAGCCACGGCUAACUACGUGCCAGCAGCCGCGGUAAUACGUAGGUGGCAAGCGUUAUCCGGAAUUAUUGGGCGUAAAGCGCGCGUAGGCGGUUUUUUAAGUCUGAUGUGAAAGCCCACGGCUCAACCGUGGAGGGUCAUUGGAAACUGGAAAACUUGAGUGCAGAAGAGGAAAGUGGAAUUCCACGUGUAGCGGUGAAAUGCGCAGAGAUAUGGAGGAACACCAGUGGCGAAGGCGACUUUCUGGUCUGUAACUGACGCUGAUGUGCGAAAGCGUGGGGAUCAAACAGGAUUAGAUACCCUGGUAGUCCACGCCGUAAACGAUGAGUGCUAAGUGUUAGGGGGUUUCCGCCCCUUAGUGCUGCAGCUAACGCAUUAAGCACUCCACCUGGGGAGUACGACCGCAAGGUUGAAACUCAAAGGAAUUGACGGGGACCCGCACAAGCGGUGGAGCAUGUGGUUUAAUUCGAAGCAACGCGAAGAACCUUACCAAAUCUUGACAUCCUUUGACAACUCUAGAGAUAGAGCUUUCCCCUUCGGGGGACAAAGUGACAGGUGGUGCAUGGUUGUCGUCAGCUCGUGUCGUGAGAUGUUGGGUUAAGUCCCGCAACGAGCGCAACCCUUAAGCUUAGUUGCCAUCAUUAAGUUGGGCACUCUAAGUUGACUGCCGGUGACAAACCGGAGGAAGGUGGGGAUGGCGUCAAAUCAUCAUGCCCCUUAUGAUUUGGGCUACACACGUGCUACAAUGGACAAUACAAAGGGCAGCGAAACCGCGAGGUCAAGCAAAUCCCAUAAAGUUGUUCUCAGUUCGGAUUGUAGUCUGCAACUCGACUACAUGAAGCUGGAAUCGCUAGUAAUCGUAGAUCAGCAUGCUACGGUGAAUACGUUCCCGGGUCU
rnacentral:rRNA from 1 species